GCUUGUCUCAAAGAUUAAGCCAUGCAUGUCUAAGUAUAAGCUUUUAUACGGUGAAACUGCGAAUGGCUCAUUAAAACAGUUAUAGUUUAUUUGAUGGUCGCUCACUACAUGGAUAACCGUGGUAAUUCUAGAGCUAAUACAUGCACCCAUGCCCGACUUUGUGGAAGGGUUGUGUUUAUUAGUUACAGAACCAACCCAGGCUCUGCCUGGUCUUGUGGUGAUUCAUAAUAACCGAACGAAUCGUAUGGCAUCAGCUGGCGAUGAAUCAUUCAAGUUUCUGACCUAUCAGCUUCCGACGGUAGGGUAUUGGCCUACCGUGGCAAUGACGGGUAACGGAGAAUUAGGGUUCGAUUCCGGAGAGGGAGCCUGAGAAACGGCUACCACAUCUAAGGAAGGCAGCAGG
rnacentral:rRNA from 1 species